rnacentral:rRNA from 1 species
UGGAGCUGAAAUCAGUCGAAGAUACCAGCUGGCUGCAACUGUUUAUUAAAAACACAGCACUGUGCAAACACGAAAGUGGACGUAUACGGUGUGACGCCUGCCCGGUGCCGGAAGGUUAAUUGAUGGGGUUAUCCGUAAGGAGAAGCUCUUGAUCGAAGCCCCGGUAAACGGCGGCCGUAACUAUAACGGUCCUAAGGUAGCGAAAUUCCUUGUCGGGUAAGUUCCGACCUGCACGAAUGGCGUAAUGAUGGCCAGGCUGUCUCCACCCGAGACUCAGUGAAAUUGAACUCGCUGUGAAGAUGCAGUGUACCCGCGGCAAGACGGAAAGACCCCGUGAACCUUUACUAUAGCUUGACACUGAACACUGGUCCUUGAUGUGUAGGAUAGGUGGGAGGCUUUGAAGUGUGGACGCCAGUCUGCAUGGAGCCAUCCUUGAAAUACCACCCUUUAAUGGCUGGUGUUCUAACGUGGACCCGUUACCCGGGUUGCGGACAGUGUCUGGUGGGUAGUUUGACUGGGGCGGUCUCCUCCUAAAGAGUAACGGAGGAGCACGAAGGUUAGCUAAUCCUGGUCGGACAUCAGGAGGUUAGUGCAAAGGCAUAAGCUAGCUUGACUGCGAGAGUGACGGCUCGAGCAGGUGCGAAAGCAGGUCUUAGUGAUCCGGUGGUUCUGAAUGGAAGGGCCAUCGCUCAACGGAUAAAAGGUACUCCGGGGAUAACAGGCUGAUACCGCCCAAGAGUUCAUAUCGACGGCGGUGUUUGGCACCUCGAUGUCGGCUCAUCACAUCCUGGGGCUGAAGUAGGUCCCAAGGGUAUGGCUGUUCGCCAUUUAAAGUGGUACGCGAGCUGGGUUUAGAACGUCGUGAGACAGUUCGGUCCCUAUCUGCCGUGGGCGCUGGAGAAUUGAGGGGGGCUGCUCCUAGUACGAGAGGACCGGAGUGGACGCAUCACUGGUGUUCGGGUUGUCAUGCCAAUGGCAUUGCCCGGUAGCUAAAUGCGGAAGAGAUAAGUGCUGAAAGCAUCUAAGCACGAAACUUGCCCCGAGAUGAGUUCUCCCUGAGACUAUAAGUCUCCUGAAGGAACGUUGAAGACGACGACGUUGAUAGGUCGGGUG